GAAUAAAACAAAAUUAUUGUAUUCAAGUUCGAAUUGAAUUUAUUGAUUUUUAAUUAAAUCU
rnacentral:tRNA from 1 species